GAACAAAAUUACUAAGCACAUAGUAUAUAUAAUUAGAAUAAAGUUAAAUUAAACCUUCGAUCCUAAGAUGUUUCAGUUAUUCUUGUGUUAUUGGAAUUUUCCCUCCCUUACAAACAAUUUCUCAAAAUCAGUCUAUUCCCCAAGAUAUCCAGUUUCUUCUGCAGAUUUUAGAAUAUGAAAUUAAACAUUUCAACCUAAAAUCCAGCUAUGAAUGCUAUUCAGAUGUUUUAUAUUGCUCUUAAUUGGGAUUUAAAAAUAUAUAAAUUCAACACUAUAGUCAAUGUUCAAUGAUUUUUGUUAAAAGAUAGAAUGGUGUAGGAAUGCUAAAGAUUUUCUAGAAUAUUAAAUUUAACUAGUCAUUAAGGCAGAGAAUCUGCUCCUGCAACUUUGCAAAUAUCUCAAUAACCUCAGAGAUCAGCACUUACUGUGGAUUUUGGAAUUAUGGUUCAAGUCUAAGACAACCACAGGUACAAGUUCUAAGGAGAAUGAAGAAGUAGCAUUCAGCACAAUGUCACUGUAGGCUGUUUCUCCCACUUGUUACUGCAUCUUUGUUUAUUUCACCUGUGACAUUACAUUAGGAUGUCUAAAGCAAUCACCAAAAAAUAAAGGUGAACUACAUCUUCCAAGAAUUACUAACAGAAAACAUUCAUCUAAUUUUCAACAUUGAAUUUUAAGGAUUUAAAUCUUUCAGCUACCAUGUUGAAAAUAAGGAUAUUAGAACUGAUUUCAUACAGUAGAGGUGAUCUGUGCAUUAUCCAUAACAACAUUUUCUUUCACACUAGGACCACAAACAAAUAUUUAUGUAAAUAGAUAUUUUUGUGUGAUAUUUUGUGGUACUUAUAACUUUUUUUAGUGUUUCACAGCAUUAUUAUUUCAUUUUAUUUCUAUUGAAUAAUGUUUUUAGGUCCAAGUAGACUUGAAUUAAUGUCAUAAUUGUCAGUAUUAUUGAAAUUAUGUCAACUGUACUGUUUUUCAUCUGUCCCAUAGUUUAGAACAUGACCCGGCUAUCUGGCAUUGUUGCAAGUGCCUUAAAUUCAUGGCAUCCUAUUAAAAAACAAAUUUGGUGUUAUGCUGCAUGACAAAGACAAACACACCUCAAAAUGUUGUCCUUUCUUAGCUUGCUGCGUUUUACAGUUCUUUCUGCUAACAAUUUAUAAGCCUUUAUUAUAUAAUAUUGAUGAAUUACAGAAAUGAUG
rnacentral:lncRNA from 1 species